UGGGGAAUAUUGCACAAUGGGCGCAAGCCUGAUGCAGCCAUGCCGCGUGUGUGAAGAAGGCCUUCGGGUUGUAAAGCACUUUCAGCGGGGAGGAAGGCGAUAAGGUUAAUAACCUUGUCGAUUGACGUUACCCGCAGAAGAAGCACCGGCUAACUCCGUGCCAGCAGCCGCGGUAAUACGGAGGGUGCAAGCGUUAAUCGGAAUUACUGGGCGUAAAGCGCACGCAGGCGGUCUGUCAAGUCGGAUGUGAAAUCCCCGGGCUCAACCUGGGAACUGCAUUCGAAACUGGCAGGCUAGAGUCUUGUAGAGGGGGGUAGAAUUCCAGGUGUAGCGGUGAAAUGCGUAGAGAUCUGGAGGAAUACCGGUGGCGAAGGCGGCCCCCUGGACAAAGACUGACGCUCAGGUGCGAAAGCAUGGGGAGCAAACAGG
rnacentral:rRNA from 1 species